rnacentral:rRNA from 1 species
UACGAGGGGGGCAAGCGUUGUUCGGAUUUAUUGGGCGUAAAGGGUGCGUAGGCGGUUUUGGCAAGUCUUGUGUGAAAUCUUCGGGCUCAACCCGAAGCCUGCAUAAGAAACUGCCGGGCUUGAGUAUGGGAGAGGUGAGUGGAAUUUCCGGUGUAGCGGUGAAAUGCGUAGAUAUCGGAAGGAACACCUGUGGCGAAAGCGGCUCACUGGACCAUAACUGGACGGCUGAGACGCGAAAGCGUGGGGAGCGAACAGG